GAUGCCAAAUUUGCUCAAAACUGGUAUGCUGCCAAGUAGAUAGCGGACUGUAGUGCUGUGACAUUUGCUACAUCAAAACCCCCACUGCUCCAUCCCCCUGUGUGCAACAAGGCGUGUUUCAUUCUCAAAGAUGGAGUUCCUUGCCACGUUCUAGGAGCUUAUCAGACAUGUUUCAUGAAAGAAUUAAUCCGGUGUAUGUUGCUGAUAUAAUUUGCUGCUUUACUUUGAAGAUGCAAUUUGCGUUGUGCAUAGAAAUCCCUUUUUAAAUGUAAAUAUAUGUAAUUGAUCUAGUGUCAUCCACUUCUUUACAGAAUGCCAAUUUUGCAGUUAUAUUUAUGCUUCUGUAAGGUAGGGUUAAGACUUGUAACACUAAUCUUUAUAAACAGUUCUGCCGUUGUGUUAAAAUUCGGCAGCUCAUCUAGAUUCUGUAAAAGGUUUUUGCAUCUGCAUUGCUGUUUCAAGGUUUUAUUAUUUCAGCCAUUCUGUUGGCCUGCAGCUUGACAGUGUUGAGGCAUUAAGUUAAAGUAUGAAUGUUGUUCGGGUCUUUUUUUGGUUAUUGCAGUUUCUGGUAGAGGUAAAGGAAUUAUUUCAGGAUCUGUUUCAAACUGUAAGGCCGUUUAAAACUGUUAUGUUAGAAAAAUGUUGGUAAAAGAUGUGCCAUAAACAUCAGAUAGUUGUUUGGUAUCAUUUUUAUAUUUUGAGUUUAGUAUAUAAAAUAUUGUUUUGGUUGAAGUUUUUUUUUUUAGACAGUUGUUUUGGUUGAAGUUUGCGACAGUUUCUCACUAAAAGUCAAAAACGGUCUUUCCCAUUCCCAAAAGAAUAGAGACUUAUUUUUCUAAACAAUAGUGUGAAAAACAUUUUUUGUCCAAAACAAUGAGGAUGUAUUUUUCUGUAUGAAUAAUAAUUUUUGAGCCAAAAUGUGUUACUCACAAAGGCGAAUUUAUCAAUAUUUUCCAGCAUUUUUUGGGUUUAUUUGCAACAUCUGCAUAAAACAAUGCCUUGAUAACUUGGCCUCUAACCAGGUUGUCGUAACUCGCAAGACAAUGUCCAAUGAGAUUGACUAGAAUAAUAAAAUAUAAUUAUGUAAAUUUGCUGAAUUUUAAUAUGUUUUGUUUUGAUGUAUUAAUUAUAUUAAUUAGAUAUAUUUAAAAAAUAGUAUACAAUUACUGUUUUUGAUAAUUAUAAAUCUGAUAUAUUACUUAAUAUUGUAACAUAUGGUGUUGAGUUUUCUUGCAACUCUCCGAAGUCCAAUAAAUAUAACUAACACUAGAAAUUUGGCUAAAACUAUAAACAAUAACAAAGUUUCCUUUGGAGUUGAACUUUUAUUUAUAAUCUCUAUAAUUUUAUUUAUAAUAAAUAGUAAUUUUUUGGGAAUUUAUCAAAUAUACUACUUUUUAGGAUCUUAUUUGCAAAAAUAUCAUCUUCCUAAAUUAAUUGCAUAUUUACUAAACUAAGUUUCUAAAUUGCAAAAAUACUACCCCCUCCCCCUGCAACUAAAUGCAACCUCAUAUGCAACUGAAUGCCUGAUUUCAAGUUCUACUUUUCAAAUGUCAUUUUCGACCUCAUCCUUGAAAUCCAUAUAUAUAUAUAUUCUGAAAAUCUGGUCACUAGGCGACCCGCUGAGACCCGCUGAGCUUCUGCAACUGAAUGCAACCACAUGCAACUGCAACUCGUGAUUUCAGGUUCCAGUUUUCAAAUGUCAUUUUCGACCUCAUCCUUGGAAUCCAUAUAUAUAUAUAUAACCGAACCGUCGAAAUUCGGUUCGGUUUGGUUUGGAAUUUUUUAAAACUCCGGUUAGUUCGAUUUUCGGUUUUAACCGAAUUAAAAGUUCGGUUCGGUCCGGUUCUGAAAAGAUUAAUUUCGGUUUAACCGAAAUAACCGAAGUUUUUUAAUAUAUAUAUUUUUUAAAUUAUAUUUAUAUAUAAUAAUAAAAAUAAUAAUCAAAUAAUAGAUUAGUAAGUACAUAUGUAAUAUGUAAUAUGUAAUUUGUUAACUUACCUGCGCCUCCUCUCCUGAGUCCCUAAACCUAGUCAGUAGUUUCCCGAAUCCCACUCGCCAUGCCUCAGCCCUCCACUCCAUUCUCCAGAGUUCCGAUUCAAGCUUCACCCUUCACAUCUGAAUCAUGCUUCACCCUUCACAUCUGAUUCAAGCUUCAGUUUCAGUUUGCAUAUCGUUUGAAUCUUUUAUACCGUUCAGUGGGUUUGUUUAAUUUGAUUCUUGUGUUGAAUAAUGGGUUUGUUUAUUGUGAAUCUUAUUUGAUAUCUGAUAAUCCGGGUACUGAUUCUUCACUGUUAAUUAGUUGAUUCUGAACUCCGAAUCUGGUUAGCUUUUUAUUUCUGUAUUUUUUUUUAUUUGUGUUUGAAGCUUUUUUUUUUAUA
rnacentral:lncRNA from 1 species